rnacentral:tRNA from 1 species
AGUUAAUGAGCUUGAAUAAGCUUAUGUCUUGAAAACAUAAGAUAGAAAUUGAAUUUUCUAUUGACUU